rnacentral:rRNA from 1 species
CACUUCGGUGCAAUGUACGAGUGGCGAACGGGUGAGUAACACGUGAGAAACCUGCCUCGGAGACCGGGACAACCAUUGGAAACGAUGGCUAAUACCGGAUGUCCUCAUUUGGUCGCAUGAUCUUUUGAGGAAAUGAUCCGUCGCUCCGGGAGGGUCUCGCGGCCUAUCAGCUUGUUGGUGAGGUAAUGGCUCACCAAGGCAUCGACGGGUAGCUGGUCUGAGAGGACGAUCAGCCACACUGGGACUGAGACACGGCCCAGACUCCUACGGGAGGCAGCAGUAGGGAAUCUUGCACAAUGGGCGAAAGCCUGAUGCAGCGACGCCGCGUGGGGGAUGAAGGCCUUCGGGUUGUAAACCCCUUUCAGUAGGGACGAAAAUGACGGUACCUACAGAAGAAGCUCCGGCCAACUACGUGCCAGCAGCCGCGGUAACACGUAGGGAGCAAGCGUUGUCCGGAUUUAUUGGGCGUAAAGAGCUCGUAGGUGGUUCGGUAAGUCGGAUGUGAAAACUCAAGGC